UCACCUGAAUAAAAAAUUCUUUUGAGGUGUUCCAAAUGGCUGCAGUACUUAUAUGGGUAGGUGAGGGUAACCCCAACUGUUUAGUAAACUCAUCUGGUUGGACUGGGUAUCUCUACGACAUAACUUGUUAACUAAACACUUUUUAAAUUUUAUAUAACUUACUUGUUGCUGUCUGUCCAGGUCGGCCUUGGUAGCAGCGAAAACGCAGGGAAUCUUUUGAAGAUCCGGGUAUAAAUUCUAAGAGAGAACAGAUUAGACAGAAACAAAAAUUGAUGUCUUACCAAUAAGUUUGCUAUAAAAGAAAAACUAUUAGGGUUUGAUGAAUCGUAUAGAAGACACAAAAUAUCGCAGGCUUCAAGUGACUUUGGUUCUGCCAGAAUAUCUAGAUCAGUUUCACCAAUUUCGGAGAGCUGGGACAAAAAAGGUUAAAAAGUAUUAAAUAAAUAUAUCCCAUACCACCAAAUAUCUUUGUGUGCUUUGGAAUUCAACACUAUUAACGACAGUGUUUGGGGUUAACCGAUUUGUGUUAUUGUUUAUAAAACUUGAGAGCAAAGCAGUCUAGAUGAAUGUUAAGUUAGAUAUAGUGAAUUUACAGAAAUGUAUAGAUAACUCACCUUUCCACAACUUUUCGAACCUACAACGAAGCAGAGAAAGACAUUUCUAUCAUAUUUCGAAACUUUUCGAUUUUGAGAAACUCGCUUACGCAUAACUUUUAAAGCGUCCGUAUUAUGACCACGUCCAUCAGUGUCAAACCCAAGGUACGCCAAAUAAGCCAAUGUUGUUUUAUAAUCAAAAAGAGUGAUCAUACUCCACUGAGCAAGCCAUCCGUUAUAAGUAACAUAUCCGUGUUCGUUGAGAACAGUAGAAUUUGGGAACUGAGAGCUCACCCAAAUUUCCGGAAGACCUGGGGUAUGGCGAAACAAGGCUGAAAGUUCCUCAUUGUUCAAGGCACCAUCAUUAUCUCUAUCGAAUUGAUAAAAGAGAUCUACCAAAAAUCUAUAACCUAAUUGCAUUUUACAUUAAUAAAAUAAAAAAAAAUUAUUGCUUACCCUUCGGACUCAGCUCAACGAUCUGUCCUGGUGCGACCUCGAAUUUAGGGCUCAAAUAUGAAUCGUCCAGACUAAGGCUAUCUGUGUAAUGAAAAGCUCGAAGGAUUCCCCAUGUACUUUCUUGUUUACCAUUUUCAACUUGUACACGAUUAUAAGCUAAAAACCCAGGCAAAGUCAACUGUCCUUCAUAAACGCCCUCAGGGCAUAUUUCCUUGACUUUCGAUAAAAUUUCUGAUGCAUCUUCGAUACUUAGGUUUUUCGAAAAGCAUUUUUCGGAAAGUGAAUUAAGUUCAUCAACAGAGAGUAAAUCAUCGUUAUUUUUA